AUUGAACGCUGGCGGAAUGCUUUACACAUGCAAGUCGAACGGCAGCACGGACUUCGGUCUGGUGGCGAGUGGCGAACGGGUGAGUAAUGUAUCGGAACGUGCCCAGUCGUGGGGGAUAACGUAGUGAAAAUUACGCUAAUACCGCAUACGAUCUAUGGAUGACAGCGGGGGAUCGCAAGACCUCGCGCGAUUGGAGCGGCCGAUAUCAGAUUAGGUAGUUGGUGGGGUAAAGGCCCACCAAGCCAACGAUCUGUAGCUGGUCUGAGAGGACGACCAGCCACACGGGAAAUGAGACACGGUCCAGACUCCUACGGGAGGCAGCAGUGGAGAAUUUUGGACAAUGGGCGAAAGCCUGAUUCAGCCAUUCCGCGUGCAGGAUGAAGGCCCUCGGGUUGUAAACUGCUUUUGUACAGAACGAAAAGGUUUCUACUAAUACUAGGAGCUCAUGACGGUACUGUAAGAAUAAGCACCGGCUAACUACGUGCCAGCAGCCGCAGUAA
rnacentral:rRNA from 1 species